UAGUAUUCAGUCAAAACUGGAUCGACGUAGGCUACGCAACAACAACACUUGCAAGCAUCUAGUAGGACAGUGUGAUGGAUUUGGACACAUCUGGAAGGGGUUUUGAGGAGGAUGUGGCAACCCAGCUGAUGAUCGAGAGUCUCCGAGAACAAGGGUUGGUCACGAGCCUUUUCUCCGGUGAAUCCUGCAGAAUCAUUCAGAUCACCCCUGAGAGAGAGAAGAUAUUCAGUGCAAUAAAGCAUGGUGAUGAACAGUCCCUCCGUGAGCUGACUGUCCAUCAGCAAGCUUUCUUUGAAGAAGACGACACAGACUACAUCCCUUUACACGAGGCUGCCAUACAGAACAACCAGAACAUCCUUGAGAUCACAUUUACCGCGUCUCCCGAGGAUGCCAAGCACAGAAAGACUCGUCAGGGCAAGACGGCGCUCUUCUUAGCAGUGGAGAAAGGGCUUUUGGACAACGCUUGUUUCUUGCUGGACCACGGCAGCAGUCCAGACACCCUGGAUGAAGACGAAGACUCGCCUCUCGUUGUAGCCAUAAGGAACAACCACUAUGGCAUGGCAAAGCUCCUGCUAAACUUCAGUGCCAGAGUUAACCAGGAGGGGGCGAACCACAGGACGGCCCUGCAUGAAGCCGCCCAGCUCGGCCUGAUGGAUUUCGUGGAUCUGCUGUUGAAGUACGGAGCUCAUCCCGACCCCAGAAGCUCUUAUGGCCUGACGCCGUUAGCAUUAGCUGCACAGGCCGGACACCUGGAGAUCAUCCGAACACUUCUCCGGAGAGGUGCUGAUGUGAAGUCUCAGGCUCAGGGUUGUGCAACAGUCCUAUUUGAGGCAUCUGCUUCAGGAAAACCUGACGUCAUCUCCUUACUUUUGGAGUACGGCGCUGACGCCAACAUAACAACACCCAAACACACGGGACACCUGCCCAUCCACAGAGUGGCCCACCGCGGACAUGUCAAGGCUCUGGCUCUGCUGAUACCGGUGACGUCGUUGGAUGCAGUGGAUGACAGUGGGAUCAGUCCUCUUCACUUGGCUGCGGCAGGUGGACACUCUCAGUGUCUGGAAAUGCUGCUAAAAGCCAAUUAUGACCCUAACUUCAUGCUGCACCCAUGGGUGCGCCGCAGCUACGACGAUAAGCGCCAGUCUGCGCUCUACUUCGCCGUCUCCAAUGAAGACAUCGCCUCCACCCGAGUCCUGCUGGAAGCUGGAGCCAUGCCCAACCAGGACCCUGUCAAGUGCCUGCAGGUGGCGCUGCGGCUGGGAAACCACGAGCUGAUCAACCUGCUGCUUCGCUACGGAGCCAACGUCAAUUACUACUGCAGAGUGAACACCACGCACUUCCCGUCGGCCUUACAGUACGCCCUGAAGGACGAGGUGGUGCUGCGGAUGCUGUGUAACUACGGUUACAACGUGGAGCGAUGCUUUGACGGUCCAUAUGGGGAGGGAUCACACGUCCCACACGGAUACGAGGGAUGGAGUGACACCGUCAUUAAAGAUACGCUGUUCUGUGAGGUCAUCUCUGUCUCGUGGCUCAAACAUCUCUCAGGAAACAUGGUUCGCAUCAUGCUAGAUUACGUCGAUCAUGUGACCUUUUGCUCCAAACUGAAGGCUGCACUCAUGGAGCAGAAACAGUGGCCUGAAAUCUGCAAAAUUCAAGACAUUAAAUCUCUCUCAAGUGGAUGCACUACCCCACCAAAACUACCUCCAUCUACAGCAUCCUCAGAAUGAACAAGUAACGACUUCUCCACGGUUACCUCACUGUCAGGAUGUAGAUCAAGUUCACCUUCACAUGGUCGGUCAACUUUAAGUUGUUUUCCUCUGGCUCGGGUGACAGCACAGGAAGGAAACACAUGGGGAAAUCUCUUCCCACAUUCAUCAGGAACGUCUGCAGACAUGGGUGUGGAAACAACAACAGCAGAUGGUACAGAUUUUGAUGUACCCCAGACAUUUCCUCGAGCAAGAUCGUUCCCCAGGAUAAAAGAAACCCCUGGCACAGGAAGGGAAGACCGUACUCCAACAAUUACAUCACCAGUCACAAGAUCAGAGAGAAAGUCCGCUGUCUGCAGCAUCUCUGUCGGCUGAAGAUCAGGGCUUGUUUGGGUCGGUUGCGUUUGAGAGCUCCGAUCUUCAUGAGCUUCCUUCCAUUACCAGAACGACUGAAGCAAUACAUCCUGUACAAAGAAUAUGAUCUCUACGCUCAGAAAUGACAAAACAAAGCAAAUAAACCAGAAUUCACACCUGUAGAAACACCUGCACCUGUUAUGUGCACAUUUUUUAAAUACAGUUAAUAUGUAACACAAAGAGUCUUAAUGUUAACGAAUAUGUAAAGGACUCAAUAAUUUAUUCAAUGAAAUAAAUGUUUUAAUAAAAUAUAGCCAUUGAUGCAUUUGUUUAUGAACAAAAGUCUUUUUUGGAAGCAUAUUUGUGCAAAGAAAUACUCUGUUUGUUUUCUAACUGCUUGUUUUCUUUUAAAAAUGCCCCUAACACUAGCUUUCUCUAUUCUUUUCCUAUUCUAUCUACUUGUUUUAUCUAGGCUAUGUGUAUUAAGCGAUAGUGACGGCUCUGUGUAGUAGCGCUCCAUUUGAACUUCGGAGCAUCGCGAAUCAUUGAUUCAGAUCGGGACUUCGGAGCAUCGCGAAUCUUUGAUUCAGAUCGGGACU